AUCUGUAGCUUAGCUUGCAAGGAGCUUAGGUCACUAUAGAUACCCAGCUCCUCUAUUGUAUUUGGACUUUUGAGAUGAAUGAGAAUUGAGAUUUGUAAAUCAUAAAUUAAUUCUCUCUUGAAAGUCACAAGGCUAGAGAGUCCAAAGACUCCCUCUAGCCACCUUCUAAGGCAUACUUCCUCACUCUCAUUUUCCAUUCCAAGUGCUUCUCUCUCAUCAGACAACAUCACCACUUCCUCCAAUAGGCUUCAGAUGCCUCAUCAGUGGCGUCAGCGCACCUUGCCACGCGUCAGCCUCCGCAUCAGCGCCUUCAUUUUCUCUAGCGCUUCAGAUUAUCCAAUUCAUUUCUCGUGUUUUCCUCUUCGAAGAAAACCUCAGCUUCCUAGGUUUUUCUCUGAGCAAAUUUCAACGUCUCUCAUCGUCCUCGUCUCAGGUUUGCAUCCAUUUCCUCUGUUUCAGCCUUGCUUCUAUCAAACCCUAGCCUCUUGAUUUUGCAUUUCUCCUCACAUCUUCCAUCCUUUUGCCAUUUCCUUUGAUUUUAAUUGAUUAAAACUUUGUUUCUUCCGAUUAAAAGCCUCUCUAACCCUCGAUCUACCUUUCCCACCGAUUAACCUUGAGUUUGAACCGAUUAAUCGGUUCAAUUUGCGAUUCUCCCCA
rnacentral:lncRNA from 1 species